AUACUUAUCUGGCAGGGGAGACACCAUGAUCAUGAAGGAGGCUUUCCCAGGGUGAGGUUUACCCGUUGCACUCCGGAUGUGUUGGCCCCUGCAAUUUCCCCAAAUAUAGGAAACUAGACUGCAUAAUUUGUGGUAGUGGGUGACUGCAUUCAUGCUUUCCCCUG
rnacentral:snRNA from 1 species